UACGUAGGGUGCGAGCGUUAAUCGGAAUUACUGGGCGUAAAGCGUGCGCAGGCGGUGAUGUAAGACAGAUGUGAAAUCCCCGGGCUCAAUCUGGGAACUGCAUUUGUGACUGCAUCGCUGGAGUGCGGCAGAGGGGGAUGGAAUUCCGCGUGUAGCAGUGAAAUGCGUAGAUAUGCGGAGGAACACCGAUGGCGAAGGCAAUCCCCUGGGCCUGCACUGACGCUCAUGCACGAAAGCGUGGGGAGCAAACAGG
rnacentral:rRNA from 1 species